rnacentral:rRNA from 1 species
AACGAACGCUGGCGGCAGGCUUAACACAUGCAAGUCGAACGCGCCCUUCGGGGCGAGGGGCAGACGGGUGAGUAACGCGUGGGAACCUACCUUUUGGUACGGAAUAACUCAGGGAAACUUGAGCUAAUACCGUAUAAGCCCUGACUUUUAAUCGGGUUGGGGGAAAGAUUAAUCGCCAAAGGAUGGGCCCGCGUCGGAUUAGCUAGUUGGUGGGGUAAGGGCCUACCAAGGGGACGAUCCGUAGCUGGUCUGAGAGGAUGAUCAGCCACACUGGGACUGAGACACGGCCCAGACUCCUACGGGAGGCAGCAGUGGGGAAUAUUGGACAAUGGGGGCAACCCUGAUCCAGCCAUGCCGCGUGAGUGAUGAAGGCCUUAGGGUUGUAAAGCUCUUUCGCCGGUGAAGAUAAUGACGGUAACCGGAGAAGAAGCCCCGGCUAACUUCGUGCCAGCCGCCGCCGUAA